AAAGAAAAAUUCGAAUGGCAUUGUUGGCAUCUUCUGGAAAGCCACUGAAGAAUGAUGCCGAAUCACAGAAUGCAAAGGUAGCUGUAACCGAAGAGAAGAAACCUUCUGAAGAGACGGAUGAUGCUGUGAAAAUAUGUUAUAGGUGUAAGAAGG